AUGAACGCCAAAAGGGCAUGCUGGGAGUGAUAGUUUUGGAGUAGCUAGACAGCCCUAGAACUGGUGACAGGAUGUAGACCUGCGUUUCCCAGCAUGUCCGGGUGGGAGUUGUAGUUUUACAACAGCUGGAGGUACACUGGACAAUGCACGGAUGACAUAGUUGAAAGCCAGGAAGAGCAUUUAAGGCUAUCUAAAGGCCCGCGUUCCAGCUGCCACGUGCCAUUAUAAUGCCAGCUUCCGAAGCGUCGUGGGUCUACAAAGCAUAGAACUUUCCGCGGCUUAUCCAAAGAGUAAAAUCGCAGGUGAGCGUGUUUAGGGAUCUCAUCCUCU